GAGCAGUCUGACGAGCACGCCGCGUGAGUGAGAAGGUUUUCGGAUCGUAAAACUCUGUUGUUAGAGAAGAACAAGGAUGAGAGUAGAAUGUUCAUCCCUUGACGGUAUCUAACCAGAAAGCCACGGCUAACUACGUGCCAGCAGCCGCGGUAAUACGUAGGUGGCAAGCGUUGUCCGGAUUUAUUGGGCGUAAAGCGAGCGCAGGCGGUUUCUUAAGUCUGAUGUGAAAGCCCCCGGCUCAACCGGGGAGGGUCAUUGGAAACUGGGAAACUUGAGUGCAGAAGAGGAGAGUGGAAUUCCAUGUGUAGCGGUGAAAUGCGUAGAUAUAUGGAGGAACACCAGUGGCGAAGGCGGCUCUCUGGUCUGUAACUGACGCUGAGGCUCGAAAGCGUGGGGAGCAAACAGGAUUAGAUACC
rnacentral:rRNA from 1 species